rnacentral:rRNA from 1 species
GACGAACGCUGGCGGCGUGCUUAACACAUGCAAGUCGAACGGGUCUGCCCUGUUUUUUGCGGGGUGGGUCAGUGGCGAACGGGUGAGUAACACGUGAGUAACCUGCCCCUCACUUCUGGAUAACCGCUUGAAAGGGUGGCUAAUACGGGGUGUUCUGGCUGUGCCGCAUGGUGUGGCUGGGAAAGAUUCACUUUUGUGGUGUUUUGGUGGGGGAUGGGCUCGCGGCCUAUCAGCUUGUUGGUGGGGUGAUGGCCUGCCAAGGCUUUGACGGGUAGCCGGCGUGGGAGGGUGGGCGGUCAGACUGGGACUGAGAUACAGCCCAGACUCCUGCGGGAGGCAGCAGUGGGGGGUAGUGCACAAUGGGCGGAAGCCUGAUGCAGCGACGUCGCGUGAGGGAUGGAGGCCUUCGGGUUGUGAACCUCUUUCGCCGGUGAAGAAGGUCCUGCUCUUUGUGGUGGGGUUGACGGUAGCCGGGUUAUGAAGCGCCGGCUAACUACGUG